GAAACAAAAUAAUAAAUAAAUUUAGCCUGGAUUAAGUUCAGUGGCUAGGCAUAUCUAAGUAAACUGAGGUUUGAUCCCACUCCUUCAAUCCUUUACUAAAAAAAAAUCUAUUUGGAAAUGAAAGACAAUUUUAUAUAAGCAUUUCACAUUAAUCUAAUUAUACCCAUUUGAAAACAAAUUAAUAAUUUAAUUAUACCCAAUUU
rnacentral:misc_RNA from 1 species